AUUGAACGCUGGCGGCAGGCUUAACACAUGCAAGUCGAGCGGGGUGAUGGUGCUUGCACUAUCACUUAGCGGCGGACGGGUGAGUAAUGCUUAGGAAUCUGCCUAUUAGUGGGGGACAACAUCUCGAAAGGGAUGCUAAUACCGCAUACGUCCUACGGGAGAAAGCAGGGGAUCACUUGUGACCUUGCGCUAAUAGAUGAGCCUAAGUCGGAUUAGCUAGUUGGUGGGGUAAAGGCCUACCAAGGCGACGAUCUGUAGCGGGUCUGAGAGGAGGGUCCGCCACGCUGGGACUGAGACACGGCCCAGACUCCUACGGGAGGCAGCAGUGGGGAAUAUUGGACAAUGGGGGGAACCCUGAUCCAGCCAUGCCGCGUGUGUGAAGAAGGCCUUAUGGUUGUAAAGCACUUUAAGCGAGGAGGAGGCUCUUUUGGUUAAUACCCAAGAUGAGUGGACGUUACUCGCAGAAUAAGCACCGGCUAACUCUGUGCCAGCCGCCGCAGUAA
rnacentral:rRNA from 1 species